rnacentral:rRNA from 1 species
UACGGAGGGGGCUAGCGUUGUUCGGAAUUACUGGGCGUAAAGCGCACGUAGGCGGCUUUGUAAGUUAGAGGUGAAAGCCCGGAGCUCAACUCCGGAACUGCCUUUAAGACUGCAUCGCUUGAACGUCGGAGAGGUAAGUGGAAUUCCGAGUGUAGAGGUGAAAUUCGUAGAUAUUCGGAAGAACACCAGUGGCGAAGGCGGCUCACUGGCCCGGUACUGACGCUGAGGUGCGAAAGCGUGGGGAGCAAACAGG